rnacentral:rRNA from 1 species
CAGCCGCCGCGGGAAUACGGAGGGGGCUAGCGUUGUUCGGAAUUACUGGGCGUAAAGCGCACGUAGGCGGCUUGGUAAGUUAGAGGUGAAAGCCCAGGGCUCAACCCUGGAAUUGCCUUUAAGACUGCCGAGCUAGUAGGUGAGAGAGGUAAGUGGAAUUCCGAGUGUAGAGGUGAAAUUCGUAGAUAUUCGGAAGAACACCAGUGGCGAAGGCGGCUUACUGGCUCAUUCUAGACGCUGAGGUGCGAAAGCGUGGGGAGCAAACAGGAUUAGAUACCCCGGUAGUCCCUGUCUCUUAUAC